AGCAAACAAGGUUCUCCCCGUAAAAAGGAAAGAGAUAGGGAGAAGAAAAAGAAGGAAUGUCUACAGUGCUCGACUGCCAUGAGGAAUUGAUUCCUGUGCGUCUUCCCAAAACGUAGACUAGUCACGGGAUCCGCCCACCCGAGAUGGUGGCCACGGAUCUGUACGGGCGAGCGUGGGUGACUAACACAGCUCUGGGCAACAAGUACAGGAGAG